rnacentral:sRNA from 1 species
AAAUCCUCCACAAUGAUUCAACUCCGGUAGAAGAGGUUGCAAUCACUUUCGCUCUGUCCAGCAGAUCUUUUGUUGACAUAGAGGAAAAUUUCGCAUCUCUCUGACUGGAUAACUCUGCCUGUUUUAGAGUAGCUGUGUAUUCUCCUAGCUCUAUAGUUAAUUCCUUUCCGGGGUCAGUGUUGCUGUUUAGGGAUGGUAUCGGUUGUUGUACGAUUGUAGGAAUUUCUUUGUACUCAGUGAGCUUGGAUUGGUGGUUGGUGACCUCUGAAACCUUGUUCGAUUGGUGAAUUUCCUUGUUUUGCUGAACUGUUUUGGUCAUCUCUUGAAUCUGGUUUUCAAGAAGGGACUGAUGAGAUGCCAGGACAGUCAAGUGGUUCUCUCUAAUCGACUUGAUCAUAGAACAGACUUUGUUAAAGAUGGCGUCUACCUCUUGUUGCCAUGAUUUUCUUAGUUUCUCUAUGUCUGAUUCAAGAUUGUUAAAUUCUUGUGUUAAUUUACCAAUGUCCUUUUCAGUAUUUUCCGUCAUCUUUUUGUAGACUGGAAGAAGAUUGGAUUCAAUAUCCCGUGUUUCGUGCUGAAUUUCGCUCUUCAACUCACUGACUACAUCUUCCAUGAGUCUGAUAGUGUGUCCAUUAUGAGUACUUAUGACACAUAUCAUGCAGAUUGGAACAUUACACCGAGAACAAUGGGCCUCACAUCUUUGGCCAGAGUGACUCCCACACUCCUGGUAAACCAGCUGGACUUUUCUGUCUUUGAACUGAACAACAUCAUGUUUCAGAGUCUGUAUACUGUCUAUGUGUUUUCCAAUGCAAUCUAAGCAUAGACUGACCUGGCAACUGUUGCAGAAUUGUCUAGCAGGGGUCUCACAAAGGUCGCAGAUGAUGACCUCUUGAGCCGAAGUGAUGUGAGGAUCAGUGGCCAUUUUCCAUUUGUAAUACGACCCCUGAAUAAAGCAACAAUC